ensembl:lncRNA
CAGGUCCCCCGACGGCAGCCCCGGCCCCCUGGGGACCCUGCGCCGCACCCUCACCUUCGAGGAGGAGCCCGAAGCUCCGCCCCAAUAAAGGGCCCGGCCGCCCCACGGCGCCGCCCCACGGAGCAGCCGCUGCCGCCUGCCUCCCCGCUUUAUUGGCGUCGCCCUCCGGGAACGGGGUCGGAGCGCGGGGGGGACAUCGGUUGGCCACCGGGAUGGCGACGGCGUUGGGGACAGCGGUUGGCCGCUGGGACCUCUGUGGGUCACGGCGUGGGGCGGGUGCUGGUUGGCCGUGGGGGACAUCCGUGUGGGGCAGGCGCCGGUUGGCCAACCGCGGCGUUGGGCCAUGGCACGGUGGGGGACAUUGGUUGGCCAAUGGGAUGGCAACGAGGGUGGUGGUUGGCCAAGGGGAUGGCGGCAGCGUUGGUUGGCCAACGGGAUGGUGGCACUGGUUGGCCAAUGGGAUGGCGGUGAAGGUGGUGGUUGGCCAACGGGAUGGUGGCACUGGUUGGCCAAUGGGAUGGCAACAAGGGUGGUGGUUGGCCAACGGGAUGGUGGCACUGGUUGGCCAACGGGUUGGCAACAAGGGUGGUGGUUGGCCAACGGGAUGACGGCGGGGGGGUGGUUGGCCAACGAGACCGCACCGAGGGCGCGAGAGGUCCACAGCCGCUGCCGGGUGUCCGCUGGCCAUCUCCGGCUGUCCAUGGAUGGUGCUGGAGGUCCACGGACGGCUCCGGUUGUCCCUGGGCGCCGCCGUCCAUCCCACGGGGCAGGGGCCACCCAUAGGUGCGUCACGCCGUGGGGCAGGGGUGGCAGGCGGCUCCGGGGAGGGGCCUGGCCUGCAGUGCAGGAUGUCUGGGGCCACCAGCGGGUGCACGAGCUGGUUGUCCAUGGACAUCUCCGGUUGCCCGUGGCUAGCACCAGCUGUCCAUGGAUGGUGGCACUGGAUCUCCACGGAUGAUGCUGGAUCUCCAUGGAUGGCGGCACUGGAUCUCCACGGAUGGUGAUGGUUGCUCAUGCAUGAUGCUGGAUGUGCAUGGAUGGUGACACUGGAUCUCCAUGGGCGUCUCUGGUGGCCCACAGGUGGUGAUGGUCGCCCAAAGAUGAUGAUGGAUCUCCAUAGACGUCUCUGGUUGCCUAUGGAUGAGGCUGGAUGUCCAUGGAUGAUGCUGGAUCUCCACAGAUAGUGGCACUGGAUUUCCACGGAUGGUGAUGAUUGCCCAUGGAUGGUGGUGGAUCUCCAUAGACAUCUCUGGUUACCAUGGGCGACGCUGGAUCUCCACAGAUGGUGGCACAGGAUCUCCAUGGAUGUCUCUGGUUGUCCAUGGACACCUCUGGUUGCCCAUAGAUGGUGAUGGAGCGCCAUAAACACCUCCGACUGUCCACGGCACAGUGACGGAGCUCCAUAAACACCUCCGACUGUCCACGGCAGGGUGACAGAGCUCCAUAAACACCUCCGACUGUCCACGGCAGGGUGACGGGCCUCCAUAAACACCUCCGACUGUCUACGGACGGUGAUGGAGCGCCAUAAACACCUCCGCUUGCCCAUGGCACGGUGACGGAGCUCCAUAAACACCUCCGACUGUCCACGGCAGGGUGACGGAGCUCCAUAAACACCUCCAACUGUCCACGGCACGGUGAC